rnacentral:rRNA from 1 species
AGAGUUUGAUUAUGGCUCAGGAUGAACGCUGGCGGCGUGCUUAAUACAUGCAAGUCGAACGCAGGGAGCAAUCCCUGAGUGGCGAACGGGUGAGUAACGCGUUGGUGACCUGCCCCGGAGUGUGGGAUACCAGGCCGAAAGGCUUGCUAAUACCGCAUGGGCAAGAGGCGCUUAGAAGGCUUCUUGCAAAGGAGUAAUCCGCUCUGGGAGGGGCCUGCGACCCAUCAGCUAGUUGGUAAGGUAACGGCUUACCAAGGCGAUGACGGGUAGGGGACCUGAGAGGGUGGCCCCCCACAAUGGAACUGAAACACGGUCCAUACACCUACGGGUGGCAGCAGUAGGGAAUAUUGCUUAAUGGGCGCAAGCCUGAAAGCAGCAACGCCGCGUGUGCGAUGAAGGCCUUCGGGUUGUAAGGCACUUUUGACCGGGAAGAGGAAGGACGGUACCGGUCGAAUCAGCCUCGGCUAACUACGUGCCAGCAGCCGC